UUUCAUCCUUGUUUCUCUAUCUUUUCCGUCGAACUCCCCCACCUAUUAGACAUCACUACCACCAGUUCUGCUACCACCACAACCUCCUCUCUUUUCUGCCUCAUCUUAGCCACCAACUCCGCCACCACCACCAUCUCCGCCACCAUCUUCAAUUCUAACAUGUUAGUAGUAACCUAAUUUCAUUUGAAAGAGAGAGUUUUCGUCGGAUUAAUCGAGAGAGGAAUAAAUUCUCACUGGAAACUAGUCGAAGAAUCAACUGAGAUCGAGCAAAAAUCAUUAUCAUCGGCAGUUCAUCAUUAAGGUUCAGGAGAGAUCUCAUCUUGGGAUUUGAUUUCUGUCGCAUGUGUUAAGUGGUACUAAUCUUGUUGAAUGGUGAAGUAGAAUUAGAGUCGCGUGCGCUGUUGGUGGUGCAAUUGGCAUUAGUGGCGACAUAUGAGUUGGAAGUGAUGCUGGUGUGAUAGAAGGAUUAGGUUUGGAGCAUAGAUGCUUCUGUGCUGGUGGUGGAAUUGGUGCACUUGGUAGUGGUGAACGAGACGUGGUGGCGGUGAAAAUUAAUUUGAUCUCGGUGAUGAGAAAGCAAAUAUUGAGCUUGAUGGUGGAAAAUGGAGGCUGGAAUUUUUAACAAGCAGGAUGCACCGUUGUAGUGCAUUGCACGAAGGAAAAAGCUUGAUCCUAGUCUUGAAGCACGUGUACCAGCUGUAAUCUUGAGCAAAUCACAGUUUUGUCUGUGACUUACGUAAUUGUUUCUAUUCUUGUUUGCAAGGGUCAAAGGAAGGAUGGGGUUGCUUGUACCGCAGGCACAGAUAAACUAUUAUGAACUACUAUGUGUACUUGGACUGUCAUCAACUAUGGUUGCAUUAGUUAAUGCUGUUGUUGGCAAUAUUGGAUUACAGGUGCGGUCUCCGGGAGCUAGGGAUACAAAUAUUGGGCUUACACACUGUUGUUCCAUUGGAUCACCAGAUCCGCAGAGUUGACACCAUCGGUGGUGGUGGUGUGGAUUGGCAAUGGUGGUGGCGACGGUGGAUUGGUGGUGGUGGUGGCGGCGGUGGAGUGGUGGUGGUGGUGGAGUGGUGGUGGCGGUGGAGUGGUGGUGGAAUGGUAGAUGAAUGUCGGUGGUGGUAGUAGAUAUAUGGUGGUGGUGGUGGUAUCGAUGGUGGUGGUGAAGUGGUAGAGAAAGUAAUUUGUUGUAUUUUAUAAUAAUUAAAUAUAUUAUAUGAGUGAAAGUGUUAAGGUAUUUAUUUGUAAAUGGAUAAGGUUUUUAAAGAAUCCUAUUAUUGGGGCUUGAAACUCAAAGGAUUUUGGGGGCUUUAUUGGGUCAUGAAAUAACAAAUCCAAUAACCCCUGUUCUAUUAUUUUGUUAAUGUCUAAUAUACCCUCGAUUGAAUUAGUGUUAAUUAUGGAAAUUAACUAAAUUAAUUAUGAUUAG